GAAAUUGUCUCUUUCGUGGACGGAGGGAGUAUAUGUGAUACAAAGGCUAUUUAAAUAGAUAUAGCUAUUGAGUGCAAUAUUGUGAAUUUAUCAGCACCGUCUUUUAACUAAAAGUAGGAUUUAUCGGUGUCGUUCAGUCACGAUAAAAAAAAAGAUAUCUAUUUGCUCCUCUUCUAAAGAUGCUAAACAUGUCUAAAUGAUGUAUUCAUAAUGGUCUACCGAGAGUGCAGUGUCAUAGAUCUGUGGGCAAACCCACUUGAUAAAUAGACAUGACUAAUGAGUGUAG
rnacentral:lncRNA from 1 species